rnacentral:rRNA from 1 species
UGAACGCUAGCUACAGGCUUAACACAUGCAAGUCGAGGGGCAGCAUUUCAGUUUGCUUGCAAACUGGAGAUGGCGACCGGCGCACGGGUGAGUAACACGUAUCCAACCUGCCGAUAACUCGGGGAUAGCCUUUCGAAAGAAAGAUUAAUACCCGAUGGCAUAAUUAGACCGCAUGGUCUUAUUAUUAAAGAAUUUCGGUUAUCGAUGGGGAUGCGUUCCAUUAGGCAGUUGGUGAGGUAACGGCUCACCAAACCUUCGAUGGAUAGGGGUUCUGAGAGGAAGGUCCCCCACAUUGGAACUGAGACACGGUCCAAACUCCUACGGGAGGCAGCAGUGAGGAAUAUUGGUCAAUGGGCGCAGGCCUGGACCAGCCAAGUAGCGUGAAGGAUGACUGCCCUAUGGGUUGUAAACUUCUUUUAUAUGGGAAUAAAGUUUUCCACGUGUGGAAUUUUGUAUGUACCAUAUGAAUAAGGAUCGGCUAACUCCGUGCCAGCAGCCGCGGUAAUACGGAGGAUCCGAGCGUUAUCCGGAUUUAUUGGGUUUAAAGGGAGCGUAGGUGGACAGUUAAGUCAGUUGUGAAAGUUUGCGGCUCAACCGUAAAAUUGCAGUUGAUACUGGCUGUCUUGAGUACAGUAGAGGUGGGCGGAAUUCGUGGUGUAGCGGUGAAAUGCUUAGAUAUCACGAAGAACUCCGAUUGCGAAGGCAGCUCACUGGACUGCAACUGACACUGAUGCUCGAAAGUGUGGGUAUCAAACAGGAUUAGAUACCCUGGUAGUCCACACAGUAAACGAUGAAUACUCGCUGUUUGCGAUAUACAGUAAGCGGCCAAGCGAAAGCAUUAAGUAUUCCACCUGGGGAGUACGCCGGCAACGGUGAAACUCAAAGGAAUUGACGGGGGCCCGCACAAGCGGAGGAACAUGUGGUUUAAUUCGAUGAUACGCGAGGAACCUUACCCGGGCUUAAAUUGCAUUUGAAUAAUCUGGAAACAGGUUAGCCGCAAGGCAAAUGUGAAGGUGCUGCAUGGUUGUCGUCAGCUCGUGCCGUGAGGUGUCGGCUUAAGUGCCAUAACGAGCGCAACCCUUAUCUUUAGUUACUAACAGGUCAUGCUGAGGACUCUAGAGAGACUGCCGUCGUAAGAUGUGAGGAAGGUGGGGAUGACGUCAAAUCAGCACGGCCCUUACGUCCGGGGCUACACACGUGUUACAAUGGGGGGUACAGAAGGCAGCUACCUGGUGACAGGAUGCUAAACCCAAAAGCCUCUCUCAGUUCGGAUCGAAGUCUGCAACCCGACUUCGUGAAGCUGGAUUCGCUAGUAAUCGCGCAUCAGCCAUGGCGCGGUGAAUACGUUCCCGGGCCUUGUACACACCGCCCGUCAAGCCAUGAAAGCCGGGGGUACCUGAAGUACGUAACCACAAGGAGCGUCCUAGGGUAAAACUGGUAAUUG